AACUUUCAGCAAUGGAUCUCUUGGCUCUCGCAUCGAUGAAGAACGCAGCGAAUUGCGAUAAGUAAUGUGAAUUGCAGAUUUUCAGUGAAUCAUCGAAUCUUUGAAUGCACCUUGCGCUCCUUGGUAUUCCGAGGAGCAUGCCUGUUUGAGUGUCA
rnacentral:rRNA from 1 species